UCAGACAGAGGAGCUGUGCCUAUAAAAGACCAGCUUGGUUGUUUGGGAGUCAAAGCUGGGCUGGGCUGGGCUGUGGUGAGGAGAGUGCUGUGUUUGGGACUUUGAUUCAAACCAUUGAUGUUGACUAUGACUCUUGGUGUGACCGUCAGGUACACAUUCAGUUUUUUGUCUUUAGGUUGUCUUUUUCAAUUAAAUACCUGUCUAAACAAGAUGUGUUCAACAGGGUGCUUUGGAUAUGCCUUUUCCUAAGUGAAAUAUGCUGUCAGCAACGUCAACAAGGUAUGAGUUGGUUCACUUUUUAGUUAAAACCCAUAUGGAGUAUAUCUGUAAUUGAAGCCCUUGUUUUGUUCUAGGGCUGGAAGGUCCCCAGAGAUUUGGGAACUAUAAAUACAAUCCUAGGCCUGACG
rnacentral:lncRNA from 1 species